rnacentral:rRNA from 1 species
UACAGAGGUCUCAAGCGUUGUUCGGAUUCAUUGGGCGUAAAGGGUGUGUAGGUGGCGCCGUAAGUCGGGUGUGAAAUUUCGGAGCUUAACUCCGAGACUGCAUUCGAUACUGCGGUGCUUGAGGACUGGAGAGGAGACUGGAAUUUACGGUGUAGCGGUGAAAUGCGUAGAUAUCGUAAGGAAGACCGGUGGCGAAGGCGGGUCUCUGGACAGUUCCUGACGCUGAGGCACGAAGGCCAGGGGAGCAAACGGG